GCNCCNUACGCUGUGNGNCACUNNCUCUAAANACAUGNCAAGUCGAACGAUGAAGCCCUUCGGGGUGGAUUAGUGGCGAACGGGUGAGUAACACGUGGGCAAUCUGCCCUUCACUCUGGGACAAGCCCUGGAAACGGGGUCUAAUACCGGAUAANACUCCUGCCUGCAUGGGCGGGGGUUGAAAGCUCCGGCGGUGAAGGAUGAGCCCGCGGCCUAUCAGCUUGUUGGUGGGGUAAUGGCCCACCAAGGCGACGACGGGUAGCCGGCCUGAGAGGGCGACCGGCCACACUGGGACUGAGACACGGCCCAGACUCCUACGGGAGGCAGCAGUGGGGAAUAUUGCACAAUGGGCGAAAGCCUGAUGCAGCGACGCCGCGUGAGGGAUGACGGCCUUCGGGUUGUAAACCUCUUUCAGCAGGGAAGAAGCGAAAGUGACGGUACCUGCAGAAGAAGCGCCGGCUAACUACGUGCCAGCAGCCGCGGUAAUACGUAGGGCGCAAGCGUUGUCCGGAAUUAUUGGGCGUAAAGAGCUCGUAGGCGGCUUGUCACGUCGGAUGUGAAAGCCCGAGGCUUAACCUCGGGUCUGCAUUCGAUACGGGCUAGCUAGAGUGUGGUAGGGGAGAUCGGAAUUCCUGGUGUAGCGGUGAAAUGCGCAGAUAUCAGGAGGAACACCGGUGGCGAAGGCGGAUCUCUGGGCCAUUACUGACGCUGAGGAGCGAAAGCGUGGGGAGCGAACAGGAUUAGAUACCCUGGUAGUCCACGCCGUAAACGUUGGGAACUAGGUGUUGGCGACAUUCCACGUCGUCGGUGCCGCAGCUANGCAUUAAGUUCCCGCCUGGGGANUCNGNCGCAGGCUAAACUCAANGAAUUGACGGGGGCCGCANAACNGGGGAACAUNNGGUUANUNGACGCANCCCAANAAC
rnacentral:rRNA from 1 species